UACGUAGGGGGCAAGCGUUGUCCGGAUUUAUUGGGCGUAAAGAGCGUGUAGGCGGUUAGGUAGGUCCGUUGUGAAAACUCGAGGCUCAACCUCGAGACGCCGAUGGAAACCAUCUAACUAGAGUCCGGAAGAGGAGAGUGGAAUUCCUGGUGUAGCGGUGAUAUGCGUAGAUAUCGGGAGGAACACCUGUGGCGAAGGCGGCUUUCUGGGCCCUACCUGACGCUGAGACGGCGAAAAGCGUGGGGAGCGAACC
rnacentral:rRNA from 1 species